GCUAUGCCAUGUCCAAAGUGUUACAGUAUAUGUGGAUUGCCCUAGCCCUUUCCAUCAGUUCUGACUUUUGGUUGCGUUGGCUAGUGCAUGAAGCUUAACAUGGUAUCGGAGCUAAGCGCAAUUUAUUAAAAAUUGCUGGUAGCCCCCCUUUGUAUCCACGUAGAGGCCUCUUGAGUCAUACGUGAGUUCCGCGCGCCGUCGCUCUCUUCCGGUUGCACACGUUGACUUGUCUUCCCCGUCACACGUGAGAGGGGGUGUUACAGUAUAUGUGGAUUGCACUAGCCCUUUCCAUCAGUUCGGACUUUUGGUUGCGUUGGCUAGUGCGUGAAGCUUAACACAAGGCACCGCCUCGCUUUAUGCUUUAAGUGAUUAAGAGUGAGUAGUGUGUAGUACUGCGGGGACAUGAGCCAUGAUUAUCUGACUAUUCUAUGCAAGACACAAUACGUCUUCUUAUGCAAAAAAGCAAACUAUACAGAUUUCAGUAAUUUAUAUCUAUACAAUAAUAAAAAGACCCUAAGGGGUAGAUCCAACUANNN
rnacentral:lncRNA from 1 species